UUCCUUCUAUCUUGAACAGUUCUGAGUCUCUCCUUCCUUUCAUGACCUUGAUAUUUUGGAGAGGACAGGCCAAUUACUUUGCAGAAUGUCUAUCAGUAUGUGUUUGCCUGAUGUUUCCUCAUGACUGGAUUUAGGACAUGCAUUUUGAAAGGCAGCUGUGCUCACCACUAUACCACCAAUGUACUCAGGACAUACAUUUUUGGCAGGAAUACCACAGAAGUGAUGCUGUGUUCUUCUCAAUGCAUCCUAUCAGAAGGCACAUGAUGUUGAUUUGUCCCAUUGCUGAUGACAUUUACUUUUAUCAUUUGCUAAAGAAGUAAACAGCUCAUGGCACGUUUAACAAAAAGAUGACAGGCGGAUACAAAAGCUAUCCAGCAUCUUUGGGCAGCCAUUGAGAUUAUACGGAACCAGAAGCAAAUUGCCAACAUUGACCGUAUUACCAAAUUUCCAAUCAAGAUGUAAAGGGUGAAGAAUCAAAGAACAAAGAAUCAGUAACAAGUGAAAUUUAAGCCUUCAGUCAUGCAGAUUCCUAAUAUGAUUCAUAACUCAUUGUCAUGUUAUUUCUCUAAAUGCCAUGUAUAGUUUAAUGUCCAAUAAAAUCAAGUUACAUAUAUCA